UCGAGCGGCGGACGGGUGAGUAACGCGUAGGAAUCUGCCUAGUAGUGGGGGAUAGCCCGGCGAAAGCCGGAUUAAUACCGCAUAAUGCCUAAGGGUGAAAGUAUGGGAUCUUCGGACCAUACGCUGUUAGAUGAGCCUGCGUCGGAUUAGCUAGUUGGUAGGGUAAAGGCCUACCAAGGCGACGAUCCGUAGCUGGUCUGAGAGGAUGAUCAGCCACACUGGGACUGAGACACGGCCCAGACUCC
rnacentral:rRNA from 1 species